GAUGAACGCUGGCGGCGUGCCUAAUACAUGCAAGUCGAGCGAAUGGAUUAAGAGCUUGCUCUUAUGAAGUUAGCGGCGGACGGGUGAGUAACACGUGGGUAACCUGCCCAUAAGACUGGGAUAACUCCGGGAAACCGGGGCUAAUACCGGAUAACAUUUUGAACCGCAUGGUUCGAAAUUGAAAGGCGGCUUCGGCUGUCACUUAUGGACGGACCCGCGUCGCAUUAGCUAGUUGGUGAGGUAACGGCUCACCAAGGCAACGAUGCGUAGCCGACCUGAGAGGGUGAUCGGCCACACUGGGACUGAGACACGGCCCAGACUCCUACGGGAGGCAGCAGUGGGGAAUCUUCCGCAAUGGACGAAAGUCUGACGGAGCAACGCCGCGUGAGUGAUGAAGGCUUUCGGGUCGUAAAACUCUGUUGUUAGGGAAGAACAAGUGCUAGUUGAAUAAGCUGGCACCUUGACGGUACCUAACCAGAAAGCCACGGCUAACUACGUGCCAGCCGCCACCGUAA
rnacentral:rRNA from 1 species